CGGAGACACUGGGGCUCUGACGAGCUGGCUGAGGCCCUCUCAGUAGGGGGGUCACGCCUCCUGGAACUCAGGGACCCCAAGUUUCUGUGCAUUCAGGGCGGGGCUGGCCCCAUGCCCUGUGCAUAGGGGCCUGGCUGCAUCCCAGUCGAUCAGCCAGAGGCAGCAGCAGUGGACUCAUCAAUUGUGGAGGAAGCCCUGGGGACCCUGGGGACCUUGCCGACUCUAUUCCCAGCCAGCUCCUAGGACAAGCCUCAGAGCCAACACCCGCUCGACCCUCUCCCGGCCCCUCCCCUUCUUUGUCUUUUGCAGAUGAUCGCCGGGUGUCGAUCCUUUUCCCUCCAGUCAGAUGAGGACACUCAGAUUCAAGGACAUAAGUGACUGGUGCAUAAUCACACAGCUAGGAGGUGGCUGCACCAGGAUUCAGAUGCAGCCUGUCUGAUGCUGACCACAUGGUCUGUGGGGUGCUGCAGAAAGAAAACUGCAUAAAGAAGGUGAUCCUGGCCUCGGGGAGUUCCUGGUGUGUGCCUCCAGCCAGCGUGGUACCCUGCAGAGGGCACUCCGGGCCAGGCGUGGACGCCGCCGGACCGCUGAGACUCGGGGCACGGUGAAGCACUGGCCGGGGUCUGGCUGGGUCCGGCGCUCGGGAGCCAGAUGGAGGUGGCGAUAGGGGCCGUGGGAGCCGGCGCCAAGUAGCCGGUGGACCCCCGCGCUCGCACCUCUCCCGGCGCCCGGGCGCUCCCCAAGGCUGCCAUGGAGGUGCCUAACGUCAAGGACUUCCAGUGGAAGCGCCUGGCGCCACUGCCCAGCCGCCGGGUCUACUGCUCCCUGCUGGAGACCGGGGGCCAGGUCUAUGCCAUCGGGGGAUGUGACGACAACGGCGUCCCCAUGGACUGCUUCGAGGUCUACUCCCCGGAGGCCGACCAGUGGACCGCCUUGCCCCGGCUGCCC
rnacentral:lncRNA from 1 species